rnacentral:rRNA from 1 species
UACAGAGGUCUCGAGCGUUAGGCGGAAUCACUGGGCUUAAAGCGUGUGUAGGCGGACCGUUAAGUGCCUUGUGAAAUCCCACGGCUCAACCGUGGAACUGCUUGGCGUACUGGCGGUCUUGAGCAACCUAGGGGCGAGCGGAACAAAUGGUGGAGCGGUGAAAUGCGUAGAUAUCAUUUGGAACGCCAAUGGUGAAAACAGCUCGCUGGGGGUUUGCUGACGCUGAGACACGAAAGCCAGGGGAGCAAACGGG